rnacentral:rRNA from 1 species
GGGUCAGUAGGUUGGUCGUGCCACCGGUACGUACUGGUCUCACUGAUUCCUCCUUCCUGAAGAACCGUAAUGCCAUUAAUUUGGUGUUGCGGGGAAACAGGACUGUUACUUUGAAAAAAUUAGAGUGUUUUAAGCAAGCUAACGCUUGAUUACAUUAGCAUGGAAUAAUGAAAUAGGACGAUCGAUCCUAUUUUGUUGGUUUCUAGGAUUGACGUA